rnacentral:rRNA from 2 species
GGCGGUGUGCCUAAUACAUGCAAGUCGAACGCGUUGGCCCAAUUGAUUGACGGUGCUUGCAUCUGAUUGAUUUUGGUCGCCAACGAGUGGCGGACGGGUGAGUAACACGUAGGUAACCUGCCCAGAAGCGGGGGACAACAUUUGGAAACAGAUGCUAAUACCGCAUAACAGCGUUGUUCGCAUGAACAACGCUUAAAAGAUGGCUUCUCGCUAUCACUUCUGGAUGGACCUGCGGUGCAUUAGCUUGUUGGUGGGGUAACGGCCUACCAAGGCGAUGAUGCAUAGCCGAGUUGAGAGACUGAUCGGCCACAAUGGGACUGAGACACGGCCCAUACUCCUACGGGAGGCAGCAGUAGGGAAUCUUCCACAAUGGGCGCAAGCCUGAUGGAGCAACACCGCGUGAGUGAAGAAGGGUUUCGGCUCGUAAAGCUCUGUUGUUAAAGAAGAACACGUAUGAGAGUAACUGUUCAUACGUUGACGGUAUUUAACCAGAAAGUCACGGCUAACUACGUGCCAGCAGCCGCGGUAAUACGUAGGUGGCAAGCGUUAUCCGGAUUUAUUGGGCGUAAAGAGAGUGCAGGCGGUUUUCUAAGUCUGAUGUGAAAGCCUUCGGCUUAACCGGAGAAGUGCAUCGGAAACUGGAUAACUUGAGUGCAGAAGAGGGUAGUGGAACUCCAUGUGUAGCGGUGGAAUGCGUAGAUAUAUGGAAGAACACCAGUGGCGAAAGCGGCUACCUGGUCUGCAACUGACGCUGAGACUCGAAAGCAUGGGUAGCGAACAGGAUUAGAUACCCUGGUAGUCCAUGCCGUAAACGAUGAGUGCUAGGUGUUGGAGGGUUUCCGCCCUUCAGUGCCGGAGCUAACGCAUUAAGCACUCCGCCUGGGGAGUACGACCGCAAGGUUGAAACUCAAAGGAAUUGACGGGGGCCCGCACAAGCGUGGGAGCAUGUGGUUUAAUUCGAAGCUACGCGAAGAACCUUACCAGGUCUUGACAUCUUGCGCCAACCCUAGAGAUAGGGCGUUUCCUUCGGGAACGCAAUGACAGGUGGUGCAUGUUCGUCGUCAGCUCGUGUCGUGAGA